rnacentral:rRNA from 1 species
UACGGAAGGCAGCAGUGGGGAAUAUUGCACAAUGGGCGCAAGCCUGAUGCAGCCAUGCCGCGUGUAUGAAGAAGGCCUUCGGGUUGUAAAGUACUUUCAGUCGUGAGGAAGGUGUUAAGGUUAAUAACCUUAGCAAUUGACGUUAGCGACAGAAGAAGCACCGGCUAACUCCGUGCCAGCAGCCGCGGUAAUACGGAGGGUGCGAGCGUUAAUCGGAAUUACUGGGCGUAAAGGGCACGCAGGCGGUUAAUUAAGUUGGAUGUGAAAUCCCCGGGCUUAACCUGGGAAUGGCAUUCAAGACUGGUUAGCUAGAGUCUUGUAGAGGGGGUAGAAUUCCGAUGUGUAGCGGUGAAAUGCAUAGAGAUGUGGAGGAAUACCGGUGCGAAGGCGACCCCUGGGACAAGACUGACGCUCAUGUGCGAAAGCGUGGGGAGCGAAACAGGGAUUAGGAUACCCGGU